CUCAAGUGAUCCGCCCACCUUGACCUCCCAAAGUGCUGGGAUCAUAGGCGUGAGCCACCGUGCCCAGCCCUGAUAUAAUUUUUUGACUGUGCAUGGGAAAAGGUGGUGGAAAAAAGGGAAAUGAGAAAUCAGGAAUUUGAGAUUAUUAAACUGUGUGACUAACCAUCACCUCCCAUAACUGCAGUCCUGUAAUGUUCUGUUUUGACGCUGUGUAUUCCUCAUUUUGGCAACCUCAUCUUCAAGGAAAUCACUCAAAAAGCUGACUGGCAGGCUGGCUGGCCAGAGUAGAAGAGCUGUUUAUUAUCGGGAUGGCAAUGUACAAAGCGAGCUGCCCCAGGGUGCAUUCCUUUCAGCUUUAUUGAAAGCCAGUUUCUACAGGUAUCUCUCUGGUGAAAAGGCAGUCCUUCUUUUGAAGACACCAGCUCGAGUGCCAGAUAGAGCUCGGAAUAAAGCACUUGGCAUUGCUCAUUCCUGCAGAUAAUGGCCUUAAUGCAUUGGGAAAAGCAGCUUGGGACCAAUGCUGUGGUGAGUCAGUCAACAGGGUCAUCUCCACACAGGAAGGACAGGAAAGAGGCUCACAAUCGCAGCAGGGGCUGGGCCUGGAGAAGGUAUUCUGUGGCAAGUUGGAUUUUCUCACAGCACCGAUACAGUAGCCACUGUAGACGUGGAGGUGUUCAUGCAAACAAGAAAAUGAAAGAACUAAAGUGCAACCAUGGGAUCAAGAAAACAGAGAAUCCAGCACAAAAGAGAAGAGACGGGAAGUCCUGAGACAACAGCUGUGGGUGGCUCUGGACAGGAGCCAGGCUGACCUGGAGUGGGAGGACUGAGGACAGAAGGUUUAUUUCCAAUAAAAUAUGAAACUAAUA